UACGUAGGGUGCAAGCGUUGUCCGGAAUUAUUGGGCGUAAAGAGCUCGUAGGCGGUCUGUCACGUCGACUGUGAAAUCCCGAGGCUCAACCUCGGGCCUGCAGUCGAUACGGGCAGACUAGAGUUCGGUAGGGGAGACUGGAAUUCCUGGUGUAGCGGUGAAAUGCGCAGAUAUCAGGAGGAACACCUAUGGCGAAAGCAGCUCUCUGGGACGGUACUGACGCUGAGACGCGAAAGCGUGGGGAGCAAACAGG
rnacentral:rRNA from 1 species